AUGUACUGCAUGUUCUCCGGGGGGGCGAGCAGCAGGCUGGCAGGCGGCUGGGUCGGAGAGGACAUCUGGAGCAGCCGGUGGAGAAGCUUCCCGGGGGCUGCAGGAGCGCAGGGACGACCGGAGAGGGCAAGGAACGUGCUCCGUGGCACCAGGAGAUGCCGAGGAGACUGGGGAGCUGACGCACAGCCAGGCUUCGGCAGCGAAGGAUCGAGCCUUGCGCAGAGCUCCGGGAGGGACUCGAGUUUCUUUGAAACCUGGAAGCCCCUCAAAGCUGCUGAAACUGAAGUGGAAGGACAAAAUUCGCUCUUCAAGGACGCAGUGGAAGCAGUUGUCCCGUAUCGGCCCUCCCAGCACGGCUGGAUUCAGCCUGGGACGACGGGACUGCCUGCCUGCGUGGCACAAUUCCACCGGUACCCUGAGACUUGUGUGAAAAAUUACCCUGCUGAAGCUACACUAAUCGCGGCAUGCAGUACGUAUACUUGCAAGCACAGUAGGCAAAGUCUGACCCUGCCAGAUAUCCGAUCUGGCCUGAGAGCUGCCGUGCCGUGGUCUCUGCUGACAGAGGUCCCUGGCACACGUCCCCGUGGGAUCAGAGGAGCCCCCCACGAGGUGGUGACACCGCUGGUGCCUCCGCGUGCUGCCAGACGAAUCCCAACUUCCCAACAGGUUUCUGUCGCCGUGGAAUUAGAGCAGCACAAACGGAAUGUCAUACAAGAUGGUGUCAAAAGCUUUAUGAAAAUCCCUGUGUAUGGCAUCUUCCCGGUGACAUCGAGAGGAUUCUUGAAGACAACUGCUGAGUGCUCUGGAUCUGCGGGUUCAGGAGUCCUCCAUGAUCAAACCCAGCUAAUCUAAAAAAUAACUCAUCUAAGGACUUUCUAAUCUGUUGCCUCCUUCCGUCAUACCGCUGAAGAUUUCACACUUCUGUCGCUGGGGCUCGCGGGAGUAGCUCCCUUUUUAGUAAAGGCAAAAAAGCAAAAGGAGCGUCGUGCUUGUGACUGUCACCUCCCAGCACCAGUGCUGCGUGGCGGAGCGCUGGACCGCCUCUCACCUUCGCCCUCUGCUUACUGACAGAGCAGCUCCGUCCUCUGAGGCUGUAUAUCCUUUGGAGCCCAGACCUACAGACUUUGUCCCCAAUUCCUCGUGCUUUUCUUAACCGUCCAUCCCAAGUAACCGGAAGUAUUUCUUUUUUCUUUUCUCUUCUUUUCACUUCUGCCCCACGUUUGAAGCCAAUGCGAAGUUUGUGGUUUUGAAAAGUUGAUCUUUUAAUAAAUUUCAACCACUUCUUCUUCA
rnacentral:lncRNA from 1 species